UUGAAAGGAGAGACCUCUCCCCCAUUUCCCCUCCCCACAACAAGAGUUGGGGGAGAAGGGGAGCAUUCAGAAUUGCCCUGUAGACAUUUCUUUUUUUCUUUUCUGCUUUCUUCUUCCCUUGCUUCUGCUUGCUUCUAUCUGUUUCUUUUUGAGACAGAGUCUCCCUGUCUAGCUCUAGCUGGUCUGGAACUUACUGUGUAUAGCCCAGGCUUGCCUGGAUGGAAUACACUGAGCUCAGUCUGCCUCUGCCUCCUGGGUGCAGAGAUCAGAUGCUUUCGCAACCCUCCUCUGUGUCUGGUUUAGACCUUCCGUAAUAUAGCUUGUAUGUUAGGCCUUGCACCGGGCUCUGGGAUUUCCCAGGAGCUGUCAGAUGAAGCUCCAUCCUUACUUGUUUAUGUAUCUACAAUUGUCCUUAGUUUAUGUAUCUACAAUUCGAUGUCUGAUUAUUCUCAUUUAAUUGUUUAAUCUUGUAAUU
rnacentral:lncRNA from 1 species